rnacentral:rRNA from 1 species
AGCGAACGCUGGCGGCAGGCCUAACACAUGCAAGUCGAACGAACCUUUCGGGGUUAGUGGCGGACGGGUGAGUAACACGUGGGAACGUGCCCUUAGGUUCGGAAUAACUCAGGGAAACUUGUGCUAAUACCGAAUGUGCCCUUCGGGGGAAAGAUUUAUCGCCUUUAGAGCGGCCCGCGUUUGAUUAGCUAGUUGGUUGAGGUAAUGGCUCACCAAGGCGACGACCAGUAGCUGGUCUGAGAGGAUGAUCAGCCACAUUGGGACUGAGACACGGCCCAAACUCCUACGGGAGGCAGCAGUGGGGAAUCUUGCGCAAUGGGCGAAAGCCUGACGCAGCCAUGCCGCGUGAAUGAUGAAGGUCUUAGGAUUGUAAAAUUCUUUCACCGGGGACGAUAAUGACGGUACCCGGAGAAGAAGCCCCGGCUAACUUCGUG